CGCGACUAUUUCAUCGUCUUCUUCAAAAAGCCGCAUUUCAACUCGCCAAAUCCAUGGCGAGUGAUUCCAAACCCAUAACCACGCGUCCCUCCAUCUCUCAUCUUGCCGUUUCUAAUGGUUUCUGAUGCCAAGAUUCUCCUCUCCUCUCACUCGCUUAAAUUUGAGAUAUAUCUCACGAUUGGAAGGUUCGGGGAACGAUUUUGCUGGAUGAGUGUGAGGCGUUAGAUUAAUUUCACUAAAUCGGAGCCCCAUAUUUAUCAAGUGUUCAUUUUCAAUAGGGAACCUCAUCCGAUUUUGAGAAAAAAAAAAAUAAUUCUGGUAAAAAAAACUGGGGAGAGUAAAAACAUAUAUGGAAGAAAAGGUUUAAGGAUUUUUGGAGGCUUCUUCUUUUUUGGGUUUUGCUCUUCAGAAAUUUUAUUCUUAUUAGUUUCAAUUGUUCUUUUAAUUUCAUGGCAUCCGAACAGAGAAAAGAGAUAUAGAGUUUUACUUUUGAGUUUCAAAGUUUUGUUUCUUCUAAUUUUAGGGAUAUAGAAAAAAACGAAAAAAGUUGUUUAUUUCUCUACUCUGCUCAAAUCCAAAAAUGGAUCCCGCUAUUGGAUAUCGAUUUUAAAUCUAUUUUCUUAAGCAUGGGGAUUAUUUGAAGUGUUGAAGCUGAGAUUGAGAACUCUUUCUUCCUUUGCUUUGAGACUAAUUUUCUGGGAGUUCAAGUGCUUUAUUGAACUAUAUUGUUGUUGUUCGUGGCUGUUGGUCCCUGCAUCGCGGUUUGUUUGAUUUUCAGCGCUGGAUUUCUCAUUGUAUACUCACAAUCAAAGUUUAAUCGAAAGCUCAAUUUCAGAUUUGCUCUAUUUUCCUUCUCCCGCUCGAAAGUUAUCUGCAUCGUUACAGCUGUAAGAACUUAGUUCUUUCGCGCUGCUAAAAACAGUUGAUUCGAGCAAUGAAUCAUGCUGAAACGUGCAGUAUUUUGGGGCAUUUUUUUGAUUGUGAGCCUGCUGAAAAUCUGCUUUGUUUUGCCUAAUUAAGCAGCAAAUAUGCACAGUUUGAUUGCAAAUUCUGCACUAUUAGCCUUGUUAUGGAAUCUGUCCUGGCUAUCUACGUCGCAUAAGUAUUGAACAAUUAAAUUUUGGUCUAAAACCAAGGGAAUUGAAGACUCCAAUUGUUGUAUCUCUUCGUAUAAGUCGGGUUCUCGUUGAAUUUUAUUCUGCUACUCAUUCUUGUUUAAUAAAAUAUGAAUGGAUACUAUUCCAUGGAAUUAGGGGUUGGGGAUUCUUUUGUGUAUAUCUACUUGGUGUAUAGAUUUGGGUCAAGUUAAUGCGAAAUGUGCAGAAACAAGAAGUUCGGAAAGUGGCGUUAUAUUUUUAAUCUUAA